rnacentral:rRNA from 1 species
UCCCAGACUCCUACGGGAGGCAGCAGUGGGGAAUAUUGCACAAUGGGGGGAACCCUGAUGCAGCGACGCCGCGUGAGCGAUGAAGUAUUUCGGUAUGUAAAGCUCUAUCAGCAGGGAAGAAAAUGACGGUACCUGACUAAGAAGCCCCGGCUAACUACGUGCCAGCAGCCGCGGUAAUACGUAGGGGGCAAGCGUUAUCCGGAUUUACUGGGUGUAAAGGGAGCGUAGACGGCUGUGCAAGCCAGAUGUGAAAGCCCGGGGCUCAACCCCGGGACUGCAUUUGGAACUGCGUGGCUUGAGUAUCGGAGAGGCAGGCGGAAUUCCUAGUGUAGCGGUGAAAUGCGUAGAUAUUAGGAGGAACGCCAGUGGCGAAGGCGGCCUGCUGGACGACAACUGACGGUGAGGCGCGAAAGCGUGGGGAGCAAACAGGAUUAGAUACCCCUGUAGA